rnacentral:lncRNA from 1 species
GCCAGGUUCCUGUGUGCUGCUUUGGGAGGAGGCAGCGGUACCGUCGGAGAUGCUGGUUUGCAUCUCCCAGCGCCGCUUACCUGCUCUGCUCCGAAGGCAGCUUCAAGGCCUGCAGCUUGCUUUUCCCAUUUACAUGACAAAAAUACAUUAACAUUGUUUUAUAACAUGGCUAGAAGGCACAUGUAAGAGUAACAGCUAUGUAUAUGCAUCCCAUACUUUGUUGAAUUGGGUGGGUGCACGCACGUUUCAGGGAAAGUGCUUCCCUCAUUUCCUUUUUACUAUGACGUCUUUCCAGCAGUUGGUGUAGAAAACGAGAAAUUCACACCAAAGUACAUCUUGGCUGGUAGCAUGAUAUCAUAGGAAGAGUUUUUGACUCACUUUAAGCUCGGAUUUUCUAGAUGGUGCUUUUGGAAUACCCUGGAUUUGAUGGGCUUUCAGCUGCACCUCAACAGCCUUUACUUACGGCUCAGUAAGGUAAAACUUCUCCAUACAACAGCAAACGCUGCUCAGCUGUAAAAAAUAGUUUCUAGCUUGUUACAGAAUGAAGCUUGCCAGCUGAAUCCUCUCGUUUACCUGCAGAGGAUUCACCUGCUGACAACCCCUUGUAAUCUACUCUGCUCAGAGACAGAGUCUCCUACAGUGAGGGGAAAGCUGCAGGAGCUUUCCCACCAGCAGCUUGAAACCUGCCCAGUACUGUCUGGAUGAAAGAGCCUUCAGCAGCCAGAGGAAGGUGCUUGCUCAGAGCAAUGUGGUUCUUCAGGCUGUAUCUCUAAAUCCAGAGAGACCUUGCACCUGGAUUCUGGAAUUUAGAAUGGUCUCAGCACUACUGCACCUUGAUGGUUUCAUCACUCUACCUCCUCGAGAUCCACCUGGUCCCAUGAAAUGUGUCCUGGAGCAACUGGGAGCUGCUGGGACUGCAGUUAUCCGGCCAAGCCACAGGAUGAAAAGCAGAGCUUUGGGAGCUGCCAAGCAUCCUGAUGUGAUCUGUGCCUUGCUACGGACUCAAACCGCAAGAAAAACUGAGUGGGUGGGAAAGUUGUGGAACAAAUGUUAUUCCAUGCAGAGGAGAACUGCCAAGGGGGGGUUGUUAGCCAGUGGCACCAAAUUAAGAGUUUAA